rnacentral:misc_RNA from 1 species
GUGAAUCAUCGAAUCUUUGAACGCACAUUGCGCCCUUUGGUAUUCCGAGGGGCAUGCCUGUUCGAGCGUCAUUGCAAAACCCUCAAGCUCAGCUUGGUGUUGGGUCUUCGCCCCCCUGUGGGUGGACCUGAAAAUCAGUGGCGGUGUCACCUGGCCUCAAGCGUAGUAGGCACUCACGCUCUGAAGGCGUAGGCUUUUGACCACCAGCCAAGCAACCCCAUAUCUUCAAUGAGUUUGACCUCGGAUCAGGCAGGGAUACCCGCUGAACUUAAGCAUAUCAAUAAGCGGAGGA